rnacentral:rRNA from 1 species
AGUGAACGCUGGCGGUAGGCCUAACACAUGCAAGUCGAACGGCAGCACAGUAAGAGCUUGCUCUUACGGGUGGCGAGUGGCGGACGGGUGAGGAAUACAUCGGAAUCUACUUUUUCGUGGGGGAUAACGUAGGGAAACUUACGCUAAUACCGCAUACGACCUACGGGUGAAAGCAGGGGAUCUUCGGACCUUGCGCGAUUGAAUGAGCCGAUGUCGGAUUAGCUAGUUGGCGGGGUAAAGGCCCACCAAGGCGACGAUCCGUAGCUGGUCUGAGAGGAUGAUCAGCCACACUGGAGCCGAGACACGGUCCAGACUCCUACGGGAGGCAGCAGUGGGGAAUAUUGGACAAUGGGCGCAAGCCUGAUCCAGCCAUACCGCGUGGGUGAAGAAGGCCUUCGGGUUGUAAAGCCCUUUUGUUGGGAAAGAAAAGCAGCAGGUUAAUACCCCGCUGUUCUGACGGUACCCAAAGAAUAAGCACCGGCUAACUUCGUG